AAACAAAUCACUAAGGAUAUUGUUAACAUGCAGAUUCUGAUUUAAUAAGUCUUGGAUGGAGCCUGAGAGCUUAGAGUUCUUGCAAGAUCCCAGGUGAUAUCAGU
rnacentral:pre_miRNA from 1 species